GACGAACGCUGGCGGUGUGCUUAACACAUGCAAGUCGAACGGAAAGGCCCUGCUUUUGCGUGGUGCACGUGUGGCGAACGGGUGAGUAACACGUGUGUAACCUGCCCUUGACUUUGGGAUAUCUUCAGGGAACUGGGGCUAUUACCGGAUAGGAGCUCCUGCUGCACGGGGGGGGUUGGAAAGUUUCGGCGGUUGGGGCUGGACUAGCGGCUUAUCCGCUUGUUGGUGUGGUAGUGGCGUACCAAGGCUUUGACGGAUAGCCGGCCUGAGAGGGUGACCGGGCACAAUGGGACUGAGAUACGGCGCAGAAGGCUACGGGAGGCAGCGGGGGGGAGUCUUACACAACGGGCGGAAGUCUGAGGCAGCAACGCCGCGUGCGGGAAGACGGCCUUCGAGUUAAGAACAGAUUUCGCCUGUGACGAGGCGUGUGUGACGGUAAUGAGUAAAGAAGCACCGGCUAACUACGUG
rnacentral:rRNA from 1 species